rnacentral:lncRNA from 10 species
AUUCAUCAAGUAUAAUUUAGGUUUUCUUCAUUAGUUUCUGCUCAGGAGGUUUUGGUGAUGUAAAAUGAAUGAAUCACAGUCCUGGUCCUCAAAGAUAGCCAUACUGAAGGAGAUGGACAUGAACAUAAAGAACCUCCAUGCUGAAUGAGAAGCCCAUCACAGCCCAUGAUGACCUGUAUAAUGUGCUUCUGGGAGAAAAGAAGUCUCAAAACCUAAGGGAGAUACCCAGAGUAAUUUCUCUAAGGAGGUUGUUUGAGAUUGAUUGAAGACCUCAAUUGUGAGAAAAAACAAACUCAGAGAGGGCAGAGAAAGGCAACUGAGACCUUGCCAUACAAUGCCUUGGUGGGAUGGACUUUCUGGUAAACCUUGUGUUAACUCCUCAAGGAAAUGCCUGGGCAUAUACCAGAAUAGUGUCUGACAGUGUGAUGCAACCUAAUGCUGCCUCUACUUGCUGGAAUUUUACUUUGUGCCUCUGGGUGGUAAUUAGGGAUUGUUUGAUCUGAGUCAAUAAAAUACUAUUCAAUUUCCCCUGCAGACAUCAGAGAUGCAUUUAUUACAGUAAAAAUAUUUUCCCAUGCCACUAUUUGAAUUUAAAGCAUACAUGUCUGCUCAUUUAAUUUCUAGCUACUUACACCAGCUUUUUAACAUAUAGACUAAGUGCAAAUUAAAAACACAAGGACAUUACUCAUGUUUCUGGAGGUAAAGAUGGAUGGAUGUUCAGUAAAUUACACCUUCUAUAGAAGCUGCUAUUGAUGAAGCUUAUGAAGUUUAAUUUCUUGAUUUAUCUGCACUGGCUAACUCCCAUGACCGUCUAUAUUCUGAAGCUUAGAUUAAACAGAUCAUGCAAGAAACACCUACAUUCAGAAUUUGAGAAGUCCCUUUGAAAAUUCAAUGGAAUCCUUUGUAAUAAAUUUCUAAAUCACAUAUGUGUCAGAUAUAUUGUGGUCCAAAUCCUGCCAUUCCAUUCAUUAUAAACGUU